GGACGGCUGGAUAGGAAUUGGCAAAAUUGCGGGAAAAAGGAGAAAAAACAAAACUCCAGCGUGAGAAGAAACUGGACUUCUCGCCAAACUCAGGCUCGCACUCUGUGGUCGCCUUUGAUUUUUGUUUUUGACAUGAUUUUUCAUCACUUCUCCGGUCACGCUCACAUUCAUCUGUUAAACCCUUGAGACAAGCUGAACCUUUUCAAUGAAGACGUGAUUUUUAUCAGGCCCGACACCAAGCACCUAAAGCCCUGGCAGUUUCAGACAGUGAGGGGAGGUGAGACGUGAGUAAUAGCAGUGACUGAUGAUGUCACAGACAGCAUCGCGCCGCUUCUGCUGCCCCCCUGACCCGGCUUUAGGAAGGCGGCAGCAGCGCGCAAGCAGCCGUGGG
rnacentral:lncRNA from 1 species